rnacentral:rRNA from 1 species
GGAAUCUUGGGCAAUGGGCGCAAGCCUGACCCAGCCACGCCGCGUGGAGGAAGACACUCCUAUGGGGCGUACACUCCUUUUAUAUGGGAAGAAAGCUUUCCUCGGGAAAGUUUGACGGUACCGUAUGAAUAAGCACCGGCUAACUCCGUCCCAGCCGCCGCGGUAAUACGGAGGGUGCAAGCGUCGUCCGGAUUCACUGGGGGUAAAGGGUGUGGAGGCGGGGCGGUAAGUCAGAGGUGAAAGCCCACGGCUUAACCGUGGAAUUGCCUUUGAUACUGCCGUUCUUGAGUCUCGGAGAGGUCGCCGGAAUUCGUGGUGUAGCGGUGAAAUGCGUAGAUAUCACGAGGAACACCAGAGGCGUAGGCGGGCGACUGGACGAGUACUGACGCUGAGGCACGAAAGCGUGGGGAGCAAAC